AUCAAACUGACCGUUGUUACUGGCUCAGUUUUGAAUUUCACCCUGUGUCGUGAAGUGAAAUGUAAUUGUGAAGUGUAAUGAAUUUUGUUGCUGAAGAAAAUAAUUGGCUCUAAUGAAUGAAUCCGGGUUGCUGGAUGAGUGGGGUGACCCUGAAUCUACCCUUUAGAUACGUAAGGCGUUUUUGAGUAAGCUGAUAUGUAAUUAGUCCUCCUAAUUAUAUGACGACAUUUUAAAAGUAAGUAUACUUUUCCUAACCUAGCAGUUUCUUUUAUUUCAUUUUGUUUAUUUAUUUAUUAAAUAAAACAAAUUUAAUGAAUUUCAUCGCAAUAACCAAAUAUUUACUGUAAUUAUUUUCAAACUAAUUUCUCAUAACCAAAUUUUUGUUCCAAAAAGUGAUAUUCUCGUAUAUAUAAUUAAAAUUGUAUUGAUAAUUUUAGUUUCUUUAUGAUAUAUUGAAAUCUUAAUCUACGAAAAUAAAUACAAAACGUCUUUGUUCUCUGUUUAAACUGGAUAAUUCCCAAUUUUCAGAUGUUCCAAGUAACGAGGUAUCGAGUGCCACUGAAUGCUGUCCUGUUAUUUUAUUUUGAGCUAAACUACCACAUUCAGCAUCUCUACACUCGACCCGCGACCCCAAGAACCAGUGUUCUUCUACUCUAGACUUGGUAAUAUUAGUCCCUAC